CGCUCCUCGACAGCGAGGGCGACAGCCACCCGAACUAGCCCGGGCCUCGCGGGCAGGGACGCGCGACUGACCGGCGGCGAGCGGUGGGAGACUUUGGAACUUAGGCAAAAGUGUGCGUGCAGCCAGCAGCAGAAUUGAAUGGUGACGCAUUGGGUGACAGCCUGCGUGUGGGGUCCUGUCAAAGGGGUUGAAUAUUGGAAAUUUCGCAUGUUCCAAAUAAGAAGAUGGCUGCCUGAUGUCUUAAGACACACAACAGAGGAGGACACCGGUU